AGCAGUAGCCGCGGUAAUACGGAGGGUGCAAGCGUUACUCGGAAUCACUGGGCGUAAAGCGUGCGCAGGCGGUUAUAUAAGACAGAUGUGAAAUCCCCGGGCUCAACCUGGGAUCUGCAUUUGAGACUGUAUGGCUAGAGUACGGUAGAGGGGGAUGGAAUUCCGCGUGUAGCAGUGAAAUGCGUAGAUAUGCGGAGGAACACCGAUGGCGAAGGCAAUCCCCUGGACCUGUACUGACGCUCAUGCACGAAAGCGUGGGGAGCAAACAGGAUUAGAUACCCCUGUAGUCCCUGUCUCUUAUAC
rnacentral:rRNA from 1 species